AAAGAAUAAGUGGAGAGAAAAUUGUGAGUAGAGAGAUAAAAAUAGAGAAAAAAAUUAUUGUUUCUUCCUAAAGUAUUUCCUACUUGGUUUUUCUAUUACAAGAGAGAUUAAUUGUUGUUAUCUCCUUGUAUUUAGAGAGUUGUUGUAAUUCUCCUAUUACAGUAAAAUCCUCCUAUACUUGCUCGUGGACGUAGCCAAAAUUGGGUGAACCACGUAAAUACUUGUGUCCAUUUUUAGCUGUAUUUUCUCAAUUUCAUUACUUGUUAGCCAAAGUCGACCCACGCGUUUUCUCCCUAACAG
rnacentral:lncRNA from 1 species